rnacentral:rRNA from 1 species
GAGGAAUAAGCAUCGGCUAACUCCGUGCCAGCAGCCGCGGUAAUACGGGGGAUGCAAGCGUUAUCCGGAAUCAUUGGGCGUAAAGCGCCUGUAGGUUGUUUAAUAAGUCUGUUGUUAAAGACUAGGGCUCAACCCUAGAAAAGCAAUGGAAACUACUAGACUAGAGUAUGGCAGGGGUAGAGGGAAUUUCUAGUGUAGCGGUGAAAUGCGUAGAUAUUAGAAAGAACACCGGUGGCGAAAGCGCUCUACUGGACCAUUACUGACACUCAGAGGCGAAAGCUAGGGUAGCAAAAGGGAUUAGAUACCCCUGUAGUCCUAGCCGUAAACGAUGGAUACUAGAUGUUGUGCUUUAAUGUACAGUAUCGUAGCUAACGCGUUAAGUAUCCCGCCUGGGGAGUACGCUCGCAAGGGUGAAACUCAAAGGAAUUGACGGGGGCCCGCACAAGCGGUGGAGCAUGUGGUUUAAUUCGAUGCAACGCGAAGAACCUUACCAGGGCUUGACAUACUACAAAUUCUUUAGAGAUAGAGAAGUGCCUUCGGGAAUGUAGAUACAGGUGGUGCAUGGCUGUCGUCAGCUCGUGUCGUGAGAUGUUGGGUUAAGUCCCGCAACGAGCGCAACCCUUAUUUUUAGUUACUAACUUGUUAGGUUUUCUAGAAAGACUGCCGGUGACAAACCGGAGGAGGGUAAGGAUGACGUCAAGUCAGCAUGCCCCUUAUGUCCUGGGCUACACACGUGCUACAAUGGUUAAGACAAAGAGUCGCGAGCUCGCAAGAGUCAGCUAAUCUCAUAAACUUAGCCUAAGUUCAGAUUGUAGGCUGCAACUCGCCUACAUGAAG